UACGUAGGUGGCGAGCGUUGUCCGGAUUUACUGGGCGUAAAGGGAGCGUAGGCGGAUUCUUAAGUGGGAUGUGAAAUACCCGGGCUUAACCUGGGUGCUGCAUUCCAAACUGGGAAUCUAGAGUGCAGGAGGGGAGGGUGGAAUUCCUAGUGUAGCGGUGAAAUGCGUAGAGAUUAGGAAGAACACCAGUGGCGAAGGCGACUCUCUGGACUGUAACUGACGCUGAGGCUCGAAAGCGUGGGGAGCAAACAGG
rnacentral:rRNA from 1 species